UUGGCUGCACGGUGGCAAGUGUGUGCCGUGUGCCCUGGCUGUGCACUUGGACCGGCGGGGAUGCGGGUCUGUGUCGGGUGGGUUUACUACGGUAACACGUGUUUCUUUUUUAUCAAAAACCUGCUGGCAGAGCCGGAGCUGAACAAGGGUGGUGCUGACGGCUGGCCGCGAGGACGCCUUCCCACGCCUGCCACCGAGUUUUCCACACAAACAUACAGCGCGGAGUUGUAAACACCCAAAGGCACACUGGUCAGCUGUGGGUGGCUGCUGGGGACACAUAGUGGCCAGGGCAUCCAGGAGACUCAGACAGCUACCCCCCCCACACACACACACAGCCCACGGGUCCAGAGCCAGGAUCCGUUCUGCCUUGAGCCAACUAGUGUGUGACAAAGCACUUGGAGAACAAGCAAGACAGAAACUUCUGCUGUCAGCGAGGACAGUGAAAGGCAACGUGCAGGUCCCCGGUCUUCGGCCACCACCCCCUCUUCCCGCACCACCACCCUGAGGCAGAGCAGGACCAGCAAAUCCCUCCUGGAUGUGUAGACCAGUGGGCCUCUCGGGCCAUCAAUAAAUGAUGAGCGGUUGCCACAGCAACAGCCCCAACCCAUAUUUUAUCUCCCGGUAAGCAGGGCGAGCUCCAGCCAUACUGCGAAAAGCCAGGCUGGACGGGAAGGGGCAGCGGCCACAGGCCACAGGACAUCGGAGCUCAGAGCACAGGGCCACGUGACCCAGAUCCAUGCUGGGAAGGCCCAAAGGUCAGUGGUGGAAACCAGAAAGUCCAUGCCAGCGGAGUGACGGAGUUGUGCUAGUGGGAUGAGGGUUCUACGCUGGAGCCAGGAAGUGACACUCACAACAAAGACCAGGGCUGUCCUGAAAGGCACCACAGCCAUCCUCAGUGACACAGAGGCCCCGAGCUCCUUCGACAACAAGCACAGUCGGGUACAUGCCAGGAAGCCAGCAUGAUGAGUUCAUCCUGGAGACCAAGCAGCACAUGUCUUCCCCUCCGGAGCCAAGAAGCAAUGCUUGAUGUGAGGACCAAAGCUUCUCCACGAGAACCAAUAGCUCAAACAGCAACUCGUAGGAGAACCCACAACACCUCAACACAAUAACGCAUUAACACCUCCCUUCUUUUCCACCGAUUUAGCCCGGCAGCUUUCCUCAAGUGGAGCAUCUUCACUCAAUGCCAUGCUGAUGUAAUCCAGCUGGCGUUAAAUUGACCACCAGUUCUUAAUCCAUAACAGCCAGUCUGAGUGCAGGAUGCUUCCUGCAGUCCCCUUUCUGCAGCUUGUGCUUGGGGUUUGUCAAGUUUCCCGGAGCCAGCAGUCUGACACUUGUGCCAGCUAUAAUUUCUGCAGGUAGGGGGCUGUCCUCCUCCCUCUGUCCUCCGCUCUGGCUGAGCACUGGCUCUCCCAGGGCCCCUGGAUGCACUUAUGUGUUUAGAGGUCUCUCCCUCGGGGUCUCACUUUGGAGGUCUGCGAUCACCCCAUCUUCGAGUUCUUCAAUCCAUGUUUCUGCAAUGUGCAGCCACACCCAGCAGAACCUUGCUCUCAGUAGGUGCAGCCCGAAUCUCCAGGGCCUUGGCUUGGUCUCUGUACUUCUAGCCUGAAGCUCUGGUCCUUCCCUUCGCUUUCCAGAAGUUUGGGGUGCGGUCCUAACAGCUGUUUUAAUAAGCACAACAUCCGCAGGAGUUCCCGGUUGGUUUCAGCUGAUGGUUGUUUUUCUCCUUAUGAGGCUGCUUUUCCCGCUUUUUUAAAAAUCUUUUACAGAAUGCCUGACAUUGUGAAGCUCACCAUGAUUGGACGCUGAAUUUUCUGUGUUCCUGUAAAUGUACUUGAACUUGGUUUGAGGAUGAAUUUAUAUGAAAAUGGUCUCACUUCUA